GCUCACUUGGCAGUGCAUAUAAUGAAAUUGGAAUAAUACAGAGAAGAUUAACAUGGUUCCUGCACAAGGAUGACACACACAUUUGUGAAGCAUUCCAUAUUUUA